rnacentral:misc_RNA from 1 species
GAUGAAGAACGCAGCGAAAUGCGAUACGUAAUGUGAAUUGCAGAAUUCAGUGAAUCAUCGAGUCUUUGAACGCACAUUGCGCCCCCUGGUAUUCCGGGGGGCAUGCCUGUCCGAGCGUCAUUUCAACCCUCAAGCCCCCGGGCUUGGUGUUGGGGAUCGGCGAGCCUCCGCGCCCGCCGUCCCCUAAAUCUAGUGGCGGUCUCGCUGUAGCUUCCUCUGCGUAGUAGCACACCUCGCACUGGGAAACAGCGCGGCCACGCCGUUAAACCCCCAACUUCUGAACGUUUGACCUCGGAUCAGGUAGGAAUACCCGCUGAACUUAAGCAUAUCAAUAAGCGGAGGA